rnacentral:rRNA from 1 species
AGUGAACGCUGGCGGUAGGCCUAACACAUGCAAGUCGAACGGCAGCACAGUAAGAGCUUGCUCUUACGGGUGGCGAGUGGCGGACGGGUGAGGAAUACAUCGGAAUCUACUUUUUCGUGGGGGAUAACGUAGGGAAACUUACGCUAAUACCGCAUACGACCUACGGGUGAAAGCAGGGGAUCUUCGGACCUUGCGCGAUUGAAUGAGCCGAUGUCGGAUUAGCUAGUUGGCGGGGUAAAGGCCCACCAAGGCGACGAUCCGUAGCUGGUCUGAGAGGAGGGUCAGCCACAUGGGAGCGGAGACACGGACCAGACUCCUAAGGGAGGCAGCAGUGUGGAAUAUUGGACAAUGGGCGGAAGCCUGACCCAGCCAUACCGCGUGGGUGAAGAAGGCCUUGCGGUUGGAAAGACCUUUUGUGGGGAAAGAAAAGCAGCAGGUUAAUACCCCGCUGUUCUGACGGUACCCAAAGAAUAAGCACCGGCUAACUUCGUG